GUGAUGUUUGCCUUGGAAAAAUUAUCCAGAUAUUUGCCGUAUCUUCUUUUUAAGGUAAGGAAACAAGUGGGAGAAGAUGCCAGGAUAACGCAGCUGGAAGCGACAGUGCUGUGUUAGAACCCAGGCCUAUCAGACUCUAGGAUCCAGCCUCGACCACUCCCUGAUACACUACAUGGCUUCGUUGUACUUACUUGGCAGAGGUAUGGGUUUUUGGUGGAUUUGUCUGCAAGAAAGAAUUUCAGAUAAUUAAAGGACAAAGCACAAU
rnacentral:lncRNA from 10 species